UGAGGGAUAUUGCACAAUGGGGGAAACCCUGAUGCAGCGACGCCGCGUGAGUGAAGACGGCCUUCGGGUUGUAAAGCUCUGUCAACGGGGACGAUAAUGACGGUACCCGUGGAGGAAGCCACGGCUAACUACGUGCCAGCAGCCGCGGUAAUACGUAGGUGGCAAGCGUUGUCCGGAAUUACUGGGUGUAAAGGGAGCGUAGGCGGGGUGCCAAGUUGGAUGUGAAAUACCGCAGCUUAACUGCGGGGCUGCAUCCAAAACUGGUACUCUUGAGUGAAGUAGAGGCAGGCGGAAUUCCUAGUGUAGCGGUGAAAUGCGUAGAUAUUAGGAGGAACACCAGUGGCGAAGGCGGCCUGCUGGGCUUCAACUGACGCUGAGGCUCGAAAGCGUGGGGAGCAAACA
rnacentral:rRNA from 1 species